AGUGAACGCUGGCGGCAGGCCUAACACAUGCAAGUCGAACGGCAGCACAGUAAGAGCUUGCUCUUACGGGUAGCGAGUGGCGGACGAGUAAGGAAUAGAUCAGAAUCUACUUUUUCGUGGGGAAUAACGUAGGAAAACUUACGCUAAUACCUCAUACUACCUACGGCUGAAAUCAAGAGAUCUUCGCACCUUGCCCGAUUGUAUGAGCCGAUGUCGGAUUUGCUAGUUGGCGUGGUAAAGGCCCACCAAGGCGACGGACCGUAGCUGGUCUGAGAGGAUGAUCAGCCACAAUGGAACUUGGACACGGGUCAGGAUCCUACGGGAGGCAGGCGUGGGGAAUAUUGGAGCAUGGGCGGAAGCCUGAUCGAGCCAUACCGGGUGGGUGAAGGAGGCCUUCGGGUUGGAAAGCCCUUUUGUUGAGAAAGAAAAGCAUCAGGUUAAUACCGCGCUGAUCUGACGGUAACCAAAGAAUAAGCACCGGCUAACUUCGUG
rnacentral:rRNA from 1 species